UUAUUUUGGCAGAGUAGUGCAGUAGAUUUAGAAUCUUUUCAAGUAAAUUUUCAUAUUUACAUAUAACAC
rnacentral:tRNA from 1 species